AGAGUUUCAUCCUGGCUCAGGAUGGACGCUGGCGGCGUGCUUAACACAUGCAAGUCGAACGAUUAAACCGCCUUCGGGCGGACAUAGAGUGGCGAACGGGUGAGUAACACGUGACCAACCUGCCCCUUCCUCCGGGACAACCUCGGGAAACCGAGGCUAAUACCGGACGACCCGCGGGAGCCGCAUGGCGCCCGCGGCAAAGCCCAGGCGGGAAGGGAUGGGGUCGCGGCCCAUCAGGUAGUUGGCGGGGUAACGGCCCACCUAGCUGACGACGGGUAGCCGCGCUGAGAGGCGGACCGGCCACAUUGGGACUGAGACACGGCCCAGACUCCUACGGGAGGCAGCAGUGGGGAAUUUUGCGCAAUGGGGGGAACCCUGACGCAGCAACGCCGCGUGCGGGACGAAGGCCUUCGGGUCGUAAACCGCUUUCAGCAGGGAAGACAACGACGGUACCUGCAGAAGAAGCCCCGGCUAACUACGUGCCAGCAGCCGUGGUAAUACGUAGGGGGCGAGCGUUAUCCGGAUUCAUUGGGCGUAAAGCGCGCGUAGGCGUCCCUUCAAGCGGCACCGUCGAAGCCGGGGGCUCAACCCCCGGAAGCGGGCCGAACUGGGGGGAUCGAGUGCGGUAGGGGAAGGCGGAAUUCCCGGUGUAGCGGUGAAAUGCGCAGAUAUCGGGAAGAACACCGACGGCGAAGGCAGCCUUCUGGGCCGCCACUGACGCUGAGGCGCGAAAGCUGGGGGAGCGAACAGGAUUAGAUACCCUGGUAGUCCCAGCCGUAAACGAUGAAAACUAGGUGUCUGGGAGCAAAGCUGUCCAGGGGCCGCAGCAAACGCAAUAAAGAAUUCCACCUGGGGAGUGCGUUUCGGCACAGAAUGAAGCUCAAAGGAAUUGCCGGGGACCCGCACAAGCGGUGGAGCAUGUGGUUUAAUUCGAAGCAACGCGAAGAACCUUACCAAGUCUUGACAUCCCUCAGAAAGAAAGGUAAUGCUUUCAGGCCUUCGGGACAGAGGAGACAGGUGGUGCAUGGUUGUCGUCAGCUCGUGUCGUGAGAUGUUGGGUUAAGUCCCGCAACGAGCGCAUCCCCUAUCUUUAGUAGCCAGCAGGUAAGGCUGGGCACUCUAGAGAGACUGCCAGGGUGAACCUGGAGGAAGGUGGGGAUGACGUCAAAUCAUCAUGCCCCUUAUGACUUGGGCUACACACGUGCUACAAUGGCGUAAACAAAGGGAAGCGAAGUCGUGAGAUGGAGCAAAACUCAGAGAUAACGUCUCAGUUCGGAUUGUAGUCUGCAACUCGACUACAUGAAGCUGGAAUCGCUAGUAAUCGCGAAUCAGCAUGUCGCGGUGAAUACGUAACCGGGUCUUGCAC
rnacentral:rRNA from 1 species